rnacentral:rRNA from 1 species
AGAGUUUGAUCAUGGCUCAGGACGAACGCUGGCGGCGUGCUUAACACAUGCAAGUCGAACGGGAUUCAACCAGUGGCAACACUGGGGAAGAUCUAGUGGCGAACGGGUGCGUAACACGUGAGGAACCUACCCCGGUCUCUGGAAUAACAGGUGGAAACACCUGCUAAUACCGGAUGCCGUCGGACCAUCGCAUGGUGGACCGACGAAAGAAUUUCGGAUCGGGACGGCCUCGCGGCCUAUCAGCUUGUUGGUGGGGUAAUGGCCUACCAAGGCGUCGACGGGUAGCUGGUCUGAGAGGAUGAUCAGCCACACUGGGACUGAGACGCGGCCCAGACUCCUACGGGAGGCAGCAGUGGGGAAUCUUGCGCAAUGGGCGAAAGCCUGACGCAGCAACGCCGCGUGCGGGAAGAAGGCCCUCGGGUUGUAAACCGCUUUCAGCAGGAACGAAAAUGACGGUACCUGCAGAAGA